AUACGGAGGAUCCGAGCGUUAUCCGGAUUUAUUGGGUUUAAAGGGUGCGCAGGCGGCCAUUUAAGUCAGCGGUUAAAUCGUGGGGCUCAACCCCAUUCUGCCGUUGAUACUGGGUGGCUUGAUUGCGGUCGAGGUUGGCGGAAUUCGUUGUGUAGCGGUGAAAUGCAUAGAUAUGACGAAGAACACCGAUUGCGUAGGCAUCUGGCCAGACCGCGAAUGACGCUCAUGCACGAAAGUGCGGGGAUCGAACAGGAUUAGAUACCCUGGUAGUCCGCACAGUAAACGAUGAAUACUUGUUUUCGGCGAUAUAAUGUCGGAGGCAAAGCGAAAGCGAUAAGUAUUCCGCCUGGGGAGUACGCCGGCAACGGUGAAACUCAAAGGAAUUGACGGGG
rnacentral:rRNA from 1 species